ACACAUGCAAGUCGAGGGGCAGCAUUUUUUUAUCAAUAGAAGAGAUGGCGACCGGCGCACGGGUGAGUAACACGUAUCCAACCUACCGAUAACUCUGGAAUAGCCUUUCGAAAGAAAGAUUAAUACCGGAUAGUAUACGAAUAUCGCAUGAUAUUUUUAUUAAAGAAUUUCGGUUAUCGAUGGGGAUGCGUUCCAUUAGUUUGUUGGCGGGGUAACGGCCCACCAAGACUACGAUGGAUAGGGGUUCUGAGAGGAAGGUCCCCCACAUUGGAACUGAGACACGGUCCAAACUCCUACGGGAGGCAGCAGUGAGGAAUAUUGGUCAAUGGGCGCAGGCCUGAACCAGCCAAGUAGCGUGAAGGAUGAAGGCUCUAUGGGUCGUAAACUUCUUUUAUAUGGGAAUAAAGUUUUCCCCGUGUGGAAUUUUGUAUGUACCAUAUGAAUAAGGAUCGGCUAACUCCGUGCCAGCAGCCGCGGUAAUACGGAGGAUCCGAGCGUGAUCCGGAUUUAUUGGGUUUAAAGGGAGCGUAGGUGGAUUGUUAAGUCAGUUGCGAAAGUUUGCGGCUCAACCGUAAAAUUGCAGUUGAAACUGGUAGUCUUGAGUACAGUAGAGGUGGGCGGAAUUCGUGGUGUAGCGGUGAAAUGCUUAGAUAUCACGAAGAACUCCGAUUGCGAAGGCAGCUCACUAGACUGUAACUGACACUGAUGCUCGAAAGUGUGGGUAUCAAACAGGAUUAGAUACCCUGGUAGUCCACACAGUAAACGAUGAAUACUCGCUGUUUGCGAUAUACAGUAAGCGGCCAAGCGAAAGCAUUAAGUAUUCCACCUGGGGAGUACGCCGGCAACGGUGAAACUCAAAGGAGUUGACGGGGGCCCGCACAAGCGGAGGAACAUGUGGUUUAAUUCGAUGAUACGCGAGGAACCUUACCCGGGCUUAAAUUGCAACAGAAUAUAUUGGAAACAGUAUAGCCGUAAGGCUGUUGUGAAGGUGCUGCAUGGUUGUCGUCAGCUCGUGCCGUGAGGUGUCGGCUUAAGUGCCAUAACGAGCGCAACCCUUAUCUUUAGUUACUAACAGGUCAUGCUGAGGACUCUAGAGAGACUGCCGUCGUAAGAUGUGAGGAAGGUGGGGAUGACGUCAAAUCAGCACGGCCCUUACGUCCGGGGCUACACACGUGUUACAAUGGGGGGUACAGAAGGCAGCUACACGGCGACGUGAUGCUAAUCCCAAAAACCUCUCUCAGUUCGGAUCGAAGUCUGCAACCCGACUUCGUGAAGCUGGAUUCGCUAGUAAUCGCGCAUCAGCCAUGGCGCGGUGAAUACGUUCCCGGGCCUUGUACACACCGCCCGUCAAGCCAUGAAAGCCGGGGGUACCUGAAGUACGUAACCGCAAGGAGCGUCCUAGGGUAAAACUGGUAAUUGGGGCUAAGUC
rnacentral:rRNA from 1 species